rnacentral:rRNA from 1 species
UAGCCAAAUGCCUCGUCAUCUAAUUAGUGACGCGCAUGAAUGGAUUAACGAGAUUCCCUCUGUCCCUACCUACUUUCUAGCGAAACCACGGCCAAGGGAACGGGCUUGGAAGAAUCAGCGGGGAAAGAAGACCCUGUUGAGCUUGACUCUAGUCUGGUACUGUAAGGAGACAUGAGAGGUGUAGCAUAAGUGGGAGGCGGCUCGCCGUCGACAGUGAAAUACCACUACUUUCAUAGUUUCCUUACUUACUCGGUGAGGCGGAAGGCGUCCGUCGGAGUGUUUGCACUCCGGCGCGACGGUAUUCUCGCACCAAACGCCAAGGGUUGUCGGCGGCCGGCCGGUCGUGGGGAGGCCCGCGGCGGUCCGCUUUGCGGCGGUCCUGCUGUGCGCGUCGUCUCCGCGCUCUCGGUCGCGCCGUCCGGCAACACACUCCCUAGCGUGAUCCGAUCCAAGGACACUACCAGGCGGGGAGUUUGACUGGGGCGGUACAUCUGUCAAAUAAUAACGCAGGUGUCCUAUGGUCAGCUCAGCGAGGACAGAAACCUCGCGUAGAGCAAAAGGGCAAAUGCUGGCUUGAUCCCGAUGCUCAGUGCGCAUAGGGACUGCGAAAGCAC